AGUCGAGCCACCAAAGUCUCUGGGGAAUGCCAGACCAUCAGCUGCACCAACUUCAUCAUCAGUGAAACUGAGGCCAGAUUUCUUCAGAAGAAAAUCAGCAGCAUGGCCUUCAAACCAGCAUUUCUGCCAAAUUCCUACCACUGUGCUCAACACCCUCAAAGCUCCAACAAUAAAAGGCAGAGGACACCCAACAGCCAGAGUGAGGAGCCUGGUGCCAGAGAUACGAGGGAGUCUGAGCACGACACAGACUGUGUGGUGAGCGGCUCUUCCCCGAGCUCACCUGCCCUUCUGGGUGAUAGCCCUGCUGUCUUCAUCCCUCCAUACAGCCCCGCCUCCUCCAGCUCCUCUCUGCAGCAGGAGGAGCUCAGCCAUGACAUUCUGAUGGAUGUGCAUGUAUGCACAGAUCAGUGGCUGUGCUCCCCUGAGGCCUCUCCCUCCCAUUAUUCCUACCCAGAGACUGGGCUCACCUGUCACCAUUCACCCUCAGACUCCCUCCCUGCAGCCACUCAAACCUUUGACCAGCCAUCCUUUGGCACGCUCAGUGGCCACACUCCACCCACCUCAUCAUCGCCAUCCUGUGAUUUCAGAGAUUAUACAUCUGACGCUCGCUUAGUUCCAGACUGUCUCUCUGUGUCCGACAUGUGUGAGAGCCCAGCGGACUGUGCUCUGCAUCCAGAUGAUUUCGGCCUUCUGUUGCAGCCACAAGAGGGCAGCGUUGUCCAACUGCAUCGUGAUGCUCCUGACUUAUCCACACAUACCAGUGUUUUUAAUCCCAGCCAGUCUCCCACAUCCCUAGAGCCUAACCAGUAUAGCGAAAGUGAGCAGGUGGAGAUCAGUAUUCUGGCCCAGCAGAUCUCCUCGCUGGCCAGCAGGUUUGACCGGCAUCACACUGUGAAUCCCUAUCAGCAUGUGGUCCAAACUACAGCCACCAACACGACGCCCUCAGCCUGUGACUGGCCCCCUAAUUCUCCUCCCCCCUCAGUUCGUCUUCCCAAUCCUGCGCUGGUUCUUGAUGUUGCCAUGUUUGACAGCUUCAUGAAAGAUCUGAACAUGUUCACAAGAAAAGGCAGCACAUUGAGCGAUACCAACUACCAGCAGGGCUUAGUGUGCAGCAGGAACGGGCACCAUCCCCAUCAGGAGCAGCAGGAGCACAUUGGCUUCAUUGCAGAGGAGCUGCUGGCUGCAGAGCACUUCACCGUGGGCAGCAUCGCCAUAGAUCCCAUCAGUAUGCAGCUGGGAUGCCAUGAUCAAACCACUGGGUUGCUUCAACAUCAUCUCUACUAAACAGUCCACCCUAAUGAGAUGGCACAUGACAGUUGUCGGGUACAGAUGGUGCUGAGACUCCAGUUCGUGGAUCUGUCAUGGUGCCGGAUCUAUAGUGGAGACAAAGAGUGAGUGACAGAUCAGCUGCCUUGCAUGGCUUCACCCUCAUCACCAGCACACAGGGCAUGCUGGUCUGUGCUUGAGAACGUGUAGCUGAAUAUCUCGGGCUUUCCAUGGUGUAUGUACUGCGAGGAGACACGUUAUGACAUGGUGGGAUGUUCCGAUACUGAGAUUGUUAAAUCAAACCUGGACAUCGAAAGCAACAUAUUAUCAGAGCGGAGUUUUAUAUGUUGCAUGAAAUCCUCCAAGACCUUUAAGUUGCAACAUGGCAGCUGCUCCUCUACACUGGUCAGAGUUGAGGGAAGAUCUGGAAGCUUCCUCUGUGUGUCCUCCCUUACCAUCACCACCACUGAGCCACUGUUUGUCACUGUCUGCACCCUAGCAGUGAACUGCCUGAGGAGCACGGACUCUCAUGGACUGGAUAUGAGCUUUAUGAAGCUGUCAGAUAGCGUGUCUCCUUUGUUGGGGUAUUCAGCAGAGGAAAUGAUUGGUCGAUCAUGGUACAGCCUCGUCCAUCCUGAAGAUCUGUCGCUGAGUGCAGAUUCUCACAGAAGUUUGAUGCACUCAGAUGACGGCUUCCAGGUGGAAAUGGUGCUGAGACUCCAGCGCAUGGAUCUGUCGUGGUGCUGGAUCUAUAGUCGAGCCACCAAAGUCUCUGGGGAAUGCCAGACCAUCAGCUGCACCAACUUCAUCAUCAGUGAAACUGAGGCCAGAUUUCUUCAGAAGAAAAUCAGCAGCAUGGCCUUCAAACCAGCAUUUCUGCCAAAUUCCUACCACUGUGCUCAACACCCUCAAAGCUCCAACAAUAAAAGGCAGAGGACACCCAACAGCCAGAGUGAGGAGCCUGGUGCCAGAGAUACGAGGGAGUCUGAGCACGACACAGACUGUGUGGUGAGCGGCUCUUCCCCGAGCUCACCUGCCCUUCUGGGUGAUAGCCCUGCUGUCUUCAUCCCUCCAUACAGCCCCGCCUCCUCCAGCUCCUCUCUGCAGCAGGAGGAGCUCAGCCAUGACAUUCUGAUGGAUGUGCAUGUAUGCACAGAUCAGCGGCUGUGCACCCCUGAGGCCUCUCCCUCCCAUUAUUCCUACCCAGACACAGUGCUCCCUGCAGCCACUCAAACCUUUGGCAUGCUCAGUGGCCACUCUUCAUUUAUCUCCUAAUCUCCGACUAAUUAUUUCAGAGCGUGUACAUUCUCAAUUCUGAUGCUCGCCUUGUUCCAGACUGCUCAUUUGUAUCCGACACGUGUGAGAGCCCAGCGGACAAUUUUGACCUUCAGGUUAAGCCACAAGGAAGCAGCGUUGACCAACUGCAUCGUGACCCAUACGUACCAGUCUCUUUAAUCCCAACCAGUAUCUCACAUCCAUAGAGCCUGACAGCAGAGAAACCAGUAUUCUGGCUUAGCAGUACGGCUUAGUGUGCAGGAUAUAUGGGCCCCAUCCCCAUCAGGAGCAGCAAGAGCACACUGGCUUCAUUGCAGAGGAGCUGCUGGCUGCAGAGCACUUCACCGUGGGCAGCAUCACCAUAGAUCCCAUCAGUAUGCAGCUGGGAUGCCAUGAUCAAACCACUGGGUUGCAUCAACUCAAUUCACCAGCUAUAUGCAAAGCAGCAUUCAGCAAGGUGGAGCUUGCUGAAGAAAACCCGUCUUGAAAUAAGUCUGAGACUUAACUGGACGACCACUUGUAUGACAUAUUGUCAUAAACCUCCAAUGGAUUUAAAGAAGAA